rnacentral:rRNA from 1 species
AACCUGCCCAAGAGAUCGGGAUAACACCUGGAAACAGAUGCUAAUACCGGAUAACAACAGAUGAUGCCUAUCAACUGUUUAAAAGAUGGUUCUGCUAUCACUCUUGGAUGGACCUGCGGUGCAUUAGCUAGUUGGUAGGGUAACGGCCUACCAAGGCGAUGAUGCAUAGCCAGUUGAGAGACUGAUCGGCCACAUUGGGACUGAGACACGGCCCAAACUCCUACGGGAGGCAGCAGUC